rnacentral:rRNA from 1 species
ACGCUGGCGGCGUGCCUAAUACAUGCAAGUAGAACGCUGAAGGAGGAGCUUCCUUCUCUGGAUGAGUUGCGAACGGGUGAGUAACGCGUAGGUAACCUGCCUGGUAGCGGGGGAUAACUAUUGGAAACGAUAGCUAAUACCGCAUAAGAGUAGAUGUUGCAUGACAUUUACUUAAAAGGUGCAAUUGCAUCACUACCAGAUGGACCUGCGUUGUAUUAGCUAGUUGGUGGGGUAACGGCUCACCAAGGCGACGAUACAUAGCCGACCUGAGAGGGUGAUCGGCCACACUGGGACUGAGACACGGCCCAGACUCCUACGGGAGGCAGCAGUAGGGAAUCUUCGGCAAUGGACGGAAGUCUGACCGAGCAACGCCGCGUGAGUGAAGAAGGUUUUCGGAUCGUAAAGCUCUGUUGUAAGAGAAGAACGAGUGUGAGAGUGGAAAGUUCACACUGUGACGGUAUCUUACCAGAAAGGGACGGCUAACUACGUGCCAGCAGCCGCGGUAAUACGUAGGUCCCGAGCGUUGUCCGGAUUUAUUGGGCGUAAAGCGAGCGCAGGCGGUUAGAUAAGUCUGAAGUUAAAGGCUGUGGCUUAACCAUAGUACGCUUUGGAAACUGUUUAACUUGAGUGCAAGAGGGGAGAGUGGAAUUCCAUGUGUAGCGGUGAAAUGCGUAGAUAUAUGGAGGAACACCGGUGGCGAAAGCGGCUCUCUGGCUUGUAACUGACGCUGAGGCUCGAAAGCGUGGGGAGCAAACAGGGUUAGAUACCCUGGUAGUCCACGCCGUAAACGAUGAGUGCUAGGUGUUAGACCCUUUCCGGGGUUUAGUGCCGCAGCUAACGCAUUAAGCACUCCGCCUGGGGAGUACGACCGCAAGGUUGAAACUCAAAGGAAUUGACGGGGGCCCGCAC